GCACGGGUGAGUAACGCGUAUCCAACCUUCCCAUAACUAAGGGAUACCCCGUAGAAAUGCGGCCUAAUACCUUAUGUACUCCCAUGACGGCAUCAGAGUGGGAGCAAAGAACUUCGGUUAUGGAUGGGGAUGCGUCUGAUUAGCUUGCUGGCGGGGUAACGGCCCACCAAGGCAACGAUCAGUAGGGGUUCUGAGAGGAAGGUCCCCCACAUUGGAACUGAGACACGGUCCAAACUCC
rnacentral:rRNA from 1 species